ACCCCAUGUUAUUAAGCCGACCGAGUCGACGUUAUAAUGUCGACUGGGUAUGCUAGAGAUGGGCAAAUUAAAUUCAAAUUGUGUGUAUGUACGACUACGUAAAUGUAGAUCGUACAAAGUAAUAUUUGAUACA
rnacentral:snoRNA from 1 species